rnacentral:rRNA from 1 species
UACAGAGGUGGCAAGCGUUGUUCGGAAUUACUGGGCGUAAAGGGCGCGUAGGCGGUUCUGUAAGUCCCGCGUGAAAUCCCCCGGCUCAACUGGGGAACUGCGCGGGAAACUGUGGGGCUAGAGUUCAGGAGAGGGAAGCGGAAUUCCGGGUGUAGCGGUGAAAUGCGUAGAUAUCCGGAGGAACACCGGUGGCGAAGGCGGCUUCCUGGACUGACACUGACGCUGAGGCGCGAAAGCUAGGGGAGCAAACAGG